rnacentral:rRNA from 1 species
AGUUUGAUCAUGGCUCAGAUUGAACGCUGGCGGCAUGCCUUACACAUGCAAGUCGAACGGCAGCACGGGGAGCUUGCUCCUGGUGGCGAGUGGCGAACGGGUGAGUAAUACAUCGGAACGUACCCUGAAGUGGGGAUAACGUAGCGAAAGUUACGCUAAUACCGCAUAUUCUGUGAGCAGGAAAGAGGGGGAUCGCAAGACCUCUUGCUUUAGGAGCGGCCGAUGUCGGAUUAGCUAGUUGGUGAGGUAAAGGCUCACCAAGGCGACGAUCCGUAGCGGGUCUGAGAGGAUGAUCCGCCACACUGGGACUGAGACACGGCCCAGACUCCUACGGGAGGCAGCAGUGGGGAAUUUUGGACAAUGGGCGCAAGCCUGAUCCAGCCAUGCCGCGUGAGUGAAGAAGGCCUUCGGGUUGUAAAGCUCUUUCGGCCGGGAAGAAAUCGCAUGGGUUAAUACCUUGCGUGGAUGACGGUACCGGAAUAAGAAGCACCGGCUAACUACGUG